CCUACGGGGAGCAGCAGUAGGGAAUCUUUCACAAUGGGCGAAAGCCUGAUGGAGCAACGCCGCGUGCAGGAUGAAGGCCUUCGGGUUGUAAACUGCUUUUAUAAGCGAGAAAUAUGAUGGUAACUUAUGAAUAAGGAUCGGCUAACUACGUGCCAGCAGCCGCGGUCAUACGUAGGAUCCGAGCAUUAUCCGGGGUGACUGGGUGUAAAGAGUUGCGUAGGUGGCAUAAUAAGUAGCUAGUGAAAUCUGGUGGCUCAACCAUUCAGACUAUUAGCUAAACUGUUAAGCUCGAGACCGUUAGGGGUAACUGGAAUUUCUAGUGUAGGAGUGAAAUCCGUAGAUAUUAGAAGGAACACCAAUAGCGUAGGCAGGUUGCUGGGACGGUUCUGACACUAAGGCACGAAAGCGUAGGGAGCAAACGGGAUUAGAUACCCUUGUAGUC
rnacentral:rRNA from 1 species